rnacentral:tRNA from 1 species
AUUUAUAUAGUAUAAUAAUUAUAUUUGACUUCCAAUCAAAAGAUCUAUAUCCUAGUAUAAAUA